CCUACGGGUGGCAGCAGUGAGGAAUAUUGGUCAAUGGGAGGAAUCCUGAACCAGCCAUGCCGCGUGCAGGACGACGGCUCUACGAGUUGUAAACUGCUUUUGUACCGGGGUAAAAUGCUCUACGUGUAGGGCUUUGAAAGUACGUUACGAAUAAGGAUCGGCUAACUCCGUGCCAGCAGCCGCGGUAAUACGGAGGAUCCGAGCGUUAUCCGGAUUUAUUGGGUUUAAAGGGAGCGUAGGUGGUUUUAUAAGUUAGUGGUGAAAGACUGAGGCUCAACCGCGAGACUGCAGCUAAUACUGUCGGCCUAGAGAUCGGUAGCAGCAGGCGGAAUGUGUAGUGUAGCGGUGAAAUGCAUAGAUAUUACGCAGAACUCCGAUUGCGAAGGCAGCUUGCUAGGCCGGAUCUGACACUGAUGCACGAAAGUGUGGGGAUCGAACAGGAUUAGAUACCCUUGUAGUC
rnacentral:rRNA from 1 species